UACGUAGGGGGCUAGCGUUGUCCGGAAUUAUUGGGCGUAAAGAGCUCGUAGGCGGCGUGUCGCGUCGGAUGUGAAAGCCCGGGGCUUAACUCCGGGUCUGCAUUCGGUACGGGCAUGCUGGAGUUCGGUAGGGGAGACUGGAAUUCCUGGUGUAGCGGUGAAAUGCGCAGAUAUCAGGAGGAACACCGGUGGCGAAGGCGG
rnacentral:rRNA from 1 species